GAUGAACGCUAGCUACAGGCUUAACACAUGCAAGUCGAGGGGUAACGAGAGGAAAGCUUGCUUUCCUUGUCGACGACCGGCGCACGGGUGAGUAACGCGUAUCCAACCUGCCCCCAACUAGGGAAUAACCUUGCGAAAGUAAGACUAAUACCCUAUAAUUUCCUCAGAUGUCAUCUGACGAGGAAUAAAGAUUUAUCGGUUGUGGAUGGGGAUGCGUCUGAUUAGCUUGCUGGCGGGGUAACGGCCCACCAAGGCAACGAUCAGUAGGGGUUCUGAGAGGAAGGUCCCCCACAUUGGAACAGAGACACGGUCCAAACUCCUACGGGGGGCAGCAGUGAGGAAUAUUGGUCAAUGGGCGGAAGCCUGAACCGGCCAAGUAGCGUGCAGGAUGACGGCCCUAUGGGUUGUAAACUGCUUUUAUGCAGGAAUAAAGUUAGCCACGUGUGGUUAUUUGUAGGUACUGUAUGAAUAAGGACCGGCUAAUUCCGUGCCAGCAGCCGCCGUAA
rnacentral:rRNA from 1 species